AUGUGGCAUAGCGAAAUAAAUAUUUAUUAAUUCUGUAUGCUUGGCUUAAUUUCUUUUUUAAAGAAAUAACUACAUGUGCCAUCAUGACAGCCAUUUUACAGCUGACAUGCCUGGCAAAAUUUAGUGAAUCCACAAUAAAUGUGGCCUUUUGAUAACAACUGGGAAAAUAGUCUGAAGUAAAUGAAUUAUAUCAAUCUCACUUCUAAAGUGAGAUGAGAUCCUUUCCCUUACCAUGCCUGUAACAAUUGCCAUGCCACAUGCCUUUGCAUUUUUAUUCUUCUUAAACAUGCAUUUUCCAGGAGCACAAAGAAUGAAAAGCUUUAGUACAGCAAUGUUCUUGCAGAAGAGAUCAGCACAAUUACAUUAUUGUUUCUGAAUAGAAUAUCACCAGAUGUAAAUGUAAGUGCAAAUUUUGCCUCCCAAAGCUUUAAUUAUAGAAAUGGAAGCAGUGAAAAUAAUCACAGACCUGUAGUAAAGCAUUUGUUACUACAAAUGCUUUAGUAAAGUUUUAUACCUGACACCAAGUCAUGGUGGCAUGCUCAAUAGAGGACUGAUUCACCAUAACAGGUUGUGCUGCCUAUAUUUCCUCUUCUCUCAAGAUCUUUCCUCUGUUCAAUGUAUUGGCCCAUACUCCUCAGUCUUGUAAACCUGGCCUGUAUUCAAACUACCAAUAAUAAUAGCUAUCCAUUGGGGCUGAAUCAGCUAUCCAAGAUGCAAAACCUAACAUGAGGAUAGAAUUCAGCAUCUUGGAAAGAUCUUUUAAUAUUAAGGCUGCCUCACAGAUCACAUUUGCUGCCACUGCUGACAUCGCUAUAAGGGAACACUGCUGUAACUUGGAUUCUUACUGUUCUUAGCUUGUCUUAAUAAGUCAUAUAGAGAUGUAGCUGAUGAGGCUUCUAAAGUGAUGGUUGAACAUUUCAUGUCCUAAGUUUCUGUACAUCAAACAAUGCUUAAAGGCAUAAAAUUCUUGCUAGUAAACAAGUUAGGAACCUUGUUUGCCUGCCCAGUACAUGCUCUCUCAUCAGUCUUUCAUUUGAUUCCGUCUUCACAGCAAAGCAUUCCAGUACUGUAAUUGAACAGUGAUGGAAACAAAUAGCUAGCGAGUAAAAUAACAUUUGCAAAAGAGAACAUACAGGAGGGAAAGUGUUGCUUGCCACAAAUGAAGAACAGCGCAAAGCACAGUUGUGCUCUUAAUGCCUACUUGUAUAAACAAACACUUCCAUAAAGCAUUUGGCAGAAAUUGUACUUUAUCCUCCUCAAGUUAGAUUAAAUGCUUCAUUUUUUUCUUGGAGAUAAACUAGAAGCUACUGUUCUUAGAGAUAACUGCUGGCUUAAUCUUUUAUUAUGCCCUGUUUCCAGUUACUGUGUUAUUGGGUUGCUGUGAGUUCUCGAGGAUGUAUGGCCAUGUUCCAGAAGCAUUCUCUCCUGACAUUUCACCCACAUCUAUGGCAGGCAUCCUCAGAAGUUGAGGGGUCUGUUGGAAACUAGGCAAGUGAGAUUUAUAUAUAUCUGUGGGAGAAAGAACUCUUGUCUGCUCGAGACAAGUGUGAAUGUUGCAAAUGGCCACGUUGAUUAGCAUUUAAUGGCCUUGCAGAUUAAAUUCCUGGCUGUUUGCUGCCUGGGGGACUCCUUUGUUGGGAGGUGUUAGCUGGCCCUGAUUGAUUCUUUUCUGGAAUUCCCCUGCUCUUUGGGUGUUUUUGUUUAUUUACUGUCCUGAUUUUAGAGUGUUUUAGUACUAGUAGCCAGAUUUUUCUUUCAACAACAUACUGUUUUGUUGUUUAUAUUUUAUAUCUAUUUUUCACUGCACAGAGAAUUCUGUCUGUCCAACAGUAGAAUCCAUCAAUAAAUCAAUGGGACAAUUAUGUUUUUCUGUACACUGAGUAAAAAAUCUUCCUCCAUACAGAUUCAUUAUUUUUUCAUUUACCAUUUUAGGUAAUAUUAUCAUUCUGUCAUUCUAAAACACUACACUUAUAAGCUUCAUAAAAACAAAAAGCCAUAUUGGAUCUACCAUGUAUACAGCAAAAAAAUUUCACAUAGUGGCAAAGUAAUUACCUCUGAGAAGCCAACAGGUAAGGCAUGAGUCCAACAGCAUCCUCCUGGUUUUGCUCCCCAGCAACUGAUUGCAAAGAGACAUAUUGCCUCUGCUACUGGAAAGCUCCAUAUAUCCAACAUGACUAGUAGCUGCAGGUUAGCCCCAUUUUCCAUUAAUUUGUUCAGUCCUCUAUCAGAGCUAUCAAAGAUACUACCCAUCAUUGAAUCUCUAAGUAGCACAUCCCACAUUUUACCUAUACACUAUAAGAAAAAGUAUUUUCUUUUAUCUGUCCUAAAAUCAUACAACUGUAAUGUUGCAUGAGAAAACCAGCCCUGGGUCCUUGGGAUGUCUAGUUUACCUGGGCCAGGUCCCCACUCACUGAAGUCUCCUUUUUUUCUCCUUUUUUCUCUCUCUGACGCCUGCCGGAGUACUAAUCCAAUGAAAGGCAAAGAGCACUCCUUAGAUGCCUUGCCAUCAUCUUCCUCUGAAUGUUUAUAUGAUGUGCCAUGACAACCAGGGGUAGAUUACCCCUGGCCAUGACUUACUGGGAAGCCCGGCUUGUUAAAGGCGCGAAGAUCACUGCAGAUGCAGAUUAUAGCCAGGAAAUCAGAAGACGUUUACUUCUUGGGAGGAGAGCAAUGGCCAACCUUGACAAAAUAGUGAAGAGCAGAGACAUCACACUGGCAACGAAGGUCUGCAUAGUCAAAGCAAUGGUAUUCCCCAUAGUAACCUAUGGAUGCGAGAGCUGGACCAUAAGGAAGGCUGAGCAAAGGAAGAUAGACACUUUUGAACUCUGGUGCUGGAGGAAAAUCCUGAGGGUGCCUUGAUCCAACCAGUCCAUCCUCCAGGAAAUAAUGCCUGGCUGCUCACUGGAGAGAAGGAUAUUAGAGGCAAAGCUGAACUAUUUUGGCCACAUGAGGAGACAGGAAAGCUUGGAAAAGAUCACGAUGCUGGGGAAAAUGGAAGGAAAAAGGAAGAGAGGCCGACCAAGGGCAAGAUGGGUGGACGGUAUCCUUGAAGUGACUGGCUUGACCUUGAAGGAACUGGGGGCGGUGACGGCCGACAGGGAGCUCCGGCGUGGACUGGUCCAUGAGGUCACGAAGAGUCGAAGACGACUAAACAACUGAGCAGCAGCAUAUUUGUAAUAUCCACAUUCAGCUCUUGCACUGCUUUGUCAUUAUAUACCAUGCAUUCCCAACCAGGAAUCCAAGGUAGUUUACAACAAAGCUUUAAAAAUACAGCUAAAAACUCAAAGAAACAAAAGUAUUUUUAUAAGUAAAUAAAUUAGGUGUCAUGUAAAAACACCCAUAAUUUAAAAUUAGUAUGAAAUCAUUUAAAUAUAACAGUGAAGAUUAAAAAUAGCAAUCUUCUACAUUAAAAAGCAUCACUUAUAAAUAAUGAAAUGCCUGUGUAAAUAAAAAGGUGUUUACCUAGCAGCAGAAUGAGGGCAGAAAGGGGACUAUCCCACCCUUUCAUCAGAGGGAAUUCCAUGCCUGGGAGCUUCCAACAAAAAAGCCCUCUCAUAAGUCCUCACCGGAUAGGACCAUGAGAAAGCCCUAACCUGAUGGUUUAUAUAGGGAUAGACAGUCUUCCAGAUAGUCUGACCUAAGCAACAACACUAUUACACAUGCUUCUCCCUCUAACAAAAAUGCAGAGUUUCUGUUCACUUUUGUUUGCAUUAAAUUCUCAGUUUAGUAAACUUCAACAAUAUUUGUCUUCAAAGGGUUUUAUCCUUCCUUACAUUUGCAGCUCCUUCUUUCUCUCUGUAUAUUGCUUCUUACAGUUCAAUUCCCCAAAGUGAUUUCCCAACAUAUUAUAAUACCGUAGAUUAAAAUCAUAUCACUACGUUACUAACAUGUGAUUUAACCUGACACAUGAAAAUAACAGUGAUCAUCAAAAAGUACGGAAAUCUUAUACAACAGUGUUUCUUACCAGAAGCAGUCUUCAGUAUUGUUAAUCUUCUUAUAAAUGUAAGUAGAUUCCCAAGGGACAUCCUUGAAUAAUAAUCCUUUAUUUCCCCAGAAAUCAAUCAAGAAGUAGCUUAGUUUCCUGGCUGGAGUCAAUAUUCGUGUUAAAUAGUCUUUGAAGUCACAAGACACCCCAAAACUCCCAGCAGAGAUGACGGGGAGGCCUGACACAGUCUCUACUCUAAGAAAAAGUAGAAGCAAAUUAUUCCAACAGAGUUGCCUCUGGUGCUGAAAACUUCUAAAAUCAAUGCUACUGUGAAGAUCCUGUUGGUAACACAUUUUCUUUGACUUGAUUUAACUGCAAAGUAGAUACAGAAUCGAAAAAUCUUGAUGAAUAGUUCUUUCAGUAAAAGCAUUAGUACAUUUUGCAAGGCACAUGAUGCAGUGCUGAAAGAUCCUGUUGGUUUCAAUCUGCUUUGCCCUCCACAAUACAAAAUUAUGUCCUCCUUGCCCUCAGGUAUAAUGUUUUCCCCAUAAUCCCCACAAAAAUAUCUUGAGGGGCACUAUCUGUAGAUUUCCCCCCUCUCAAUUCUUUUUUGUUCUCGAACAAACAAAAGGGUUCUAAUGAGAGGUAUGAUGCCUACUUCUUGUGCACUACCGAGGCAAUUUUGUUACAUGAGUGGUUAAACACUGGAAAUGGAGGUACAAAUAAAGAAUGUAUGCAUGUAGCAGCUAGCAAUUCUGAUUAUAGAAAAGAGACAUCAGUGACCAUAGAAACAUACUAAGGGUGCAUCUACAGGGUUGUUUUGUGUUUUCCGGGCUGUAUGGCCAUGUUCCAGAAAUAUUCUUACAGCCUGGAAAACACACAACAACCCUGUGAUUCCGGCCAUGAAAGCCUUCCACAACACAGUGCAUCUACUCAUCUACACUGAUCAUUUACAUCAGUAUGACCUUAGAUCAGCCCUGUAGUGGCGAAAUACUGGGGCUGAUUCAGCUAAACCCAGGGAAUGGCUGCCUAAACAUGAAAUGUUAUUUUAGGGGUAAACACAAAUCCUCACCCAGGAUUCAGGCUUUCCCCACCUCCUGAGUUAUGGGGUAUGAAGACAACUAGGGCAUAUAAUUGUACUGGAGAACAUAGAGGUUCCCAGAGAGAACACUUUGCUAGGCCUUUGUAGGUUCUCCAGCAUGAUUCCAUUGUCUUCUUCCAGUGGAAAUUCACCCUAGAGUCAUGUUAGAAGGCCUACAGAGUCUUAGAGAGAUGCUCUCCCAAGUAAAAAAAAUAGAAUUUUUUAAUUUACAGUUUUGUCUUUUUAAUAGAAAUCCUGUGCCCCUAAUCCCAGCAAGUAGAAAAGGCUAACUCUUUAAUGUGAAAAAGUGGUCCUGAAACACAAUAGUCUACACAUGGGUCUGUUAGGAUCUCAAGUGGAAUCUGGAUUCACUGAAUAUUCACUGAAUAUUAAACUGAAUUUAAUGUGACACUUCAUACUGAUACUUACGAGACCAUCUGGUAUGUGGCAUAGGUGCAUGUGGGACCCAGGACAGCACACCCAAGGUCACCAUUACUCUGUAAUAGAAAAUGUCAACAUUAACAUCAGCAAAGGAUUGGAACUCAGAAAGAAAACAUUAUCUAGAUGCAAAGUACUGUUAUAGCACUGGAACAAGCAGCUUGUAAAUGCUAAUGAUUGCAGUUGGGAAAGAAAUAUGAUUACUGAGACAUCAUGAAGGGGAGGGCAAAGGACAGCCCAUGGGCCCCAAGCCCUUUUAUAAACAAAAUAUAAAAUAAGAGAAGCAUGUAUUUGUAUAGAAACAUGAGUGUCUACUUGAAAUUUUUUCACAUAUAAGAAUGGUAGUAUCAGUGGACAUAUUGCUAUAUAAUUUAACAAUGCGAUAGAAAACUUUUCCACUGUUAUAUUGUAUUUCCAAAGUCUUUGUUGCUGUGAGUUUUUCAGGCUAUAUGGCCAUGUUCCAGAACAUGGAACAUCUGGAACAUGACCAUACAGCCUGAAAAACUCACAGCAACCCAGUGAUUCCAGCCAUGAAAGCCUUCAACAACACAUAGCUUGGUCUUUGUUUACAUGAACUACAACAACAGUUUCCUUAAAAGUGCUUUAAUACUCACAUAAAGUUUUCUGAUGAUUUCCACACCUUCACAAGUGCUAGUGCGGCAGCCGUCUGAGACAUAGAGCGAUGUGUUAUUGAUUCCAUAAAGUGUAGCAUUGACAUUCAUGUUCAUAUUGUUCUCUGUAACAAAAAAAAUAGCAAUGCAAUUGCAGGACAUUUUAAAAUGCAAUGACCUGCAGGAUAUUUUGGAGGAAGACGAAGAAGUGAAGAGGAGGAAGAAGUGGAGAACAACAACAAUUAGAAUUUGAAUGAUUUUUAAGACAACUGUUUAGGUGUUGCUAUAAUGUUGGUCCUACUAGUUACUUUGUAAGGAGUUAUUCUAAAGACAGGUUUAAAUAAUUAAAAUAAAAUAAUUAAUAGUAGACAUAUGCUGAUUGUAAUAGAUUGAUGCAAUAUAUAUGUAGAAUUUCUAUAUUUAAAAGAAAUGUGGCAUAUUAAACCCAAGAUAACAUCCACUAGUUUUCCCACAAGGAAGAGAAACUGGCUGCUAUAUCUUCUUGUGUGUAUCUUUUUGUAUGAAAGAAAUUAUAUUCAUAUCUUUUUGCUUUGAUUAUGGUAGUAGAAAAAUGAUUCAGUGGUAACCUCUAAAAAUGUCAUAGCCUCAAGAAUAUUUUUCCAAUUUAAAAGGAAAUACUUAUUGGAGUGUUGAGAUGCUUUUAAUCAUUAAUUUUAAAUUUGUGUCCUUUGUUUAAUCUCUGUUUUGUGUAUUUUCAUAUGUAUUUUAUAGAAGUAUGUUUUAAUAUGUAUCUUUGGUACUCUUCCAUUAUCUGGGCGGAGACCACUAGGGGGUGCUAGAGAGAGAAAGCUAGUCCAUUUUACAGGGUGGAGGGUGGCUUGAAGAAGAAAAACCAUUUCCACGUUUUCCUGUUAUUCCCCCCACCCAUGUUCCUGUCGUGGAAACAACCCUAAUUUGUGAUAAGGGAAUUGGGGAGGGGGAAUAACAGCGAAAAUGGGGGAAAUGGUUUUUCUCCUUAAACUCCCUCCCUGUAAAAUAGACUAUCAUUCUCUCUUUAGCAUCUCCUAGUGGCUUUCACCUGGAUAAUAGAAUAGUACCCUAUCUUUUUUUAGAAAUACAAUUUAAUAUGUGUAUUUGUGGUAUUUUUACAAUGUUUUUGUGUUUUAAUUAUUCUCUAACAUGCUCAAGCCAUGAAGAGAGGUGGGUAAGAAAUAAAAUGGUGAUGAUGAUGAUGAUAAUGAUGAUGAUGAUGAUGAUGAUGAUGAUAAAAAAUAAUAAUAGUAAUCUGUCUUUCAAAAAAUGUAUAGUUAAGAAGGGGGGGGAGACAACAGGAAAUGAGAUAAAUCUGCCCCUAGGAAGAGAAAUUCACUUCUGAAAGAGUUGUCAUGAGGAAGAGGUGUCUCUACUGAAGCUUUCUUACCAAUCCUUGUUUAUAUAUCAAGCCGAAUUUUUUGAAAUCCAAUUAACACACAGGGCAUACACGUCAAAACAAACACCAUAGGGAUAUUAACCCUUCCCAAUGUGGGGAAAUGGACCUUGAUUCUGCGAGUUGUAGUUCACUUCCAUCCAGAGAAACAGUGACCACCAUCAACAAUGGACUGGGACCAAACUUGGCACAGAGAAGCCCCUUGAUCAACUGAACAUACUGCAGGGGUUUAGGGGAAUGGGCCUUGAUUUUGGGAGUUGUAGUUCACCUGCAUCCAGAAAACCCUGAACCCAGCUGACAUCUGAUCUGGACGAAACUUGGCACUCGGACCCAACAUGGCCAAUUGCAAAUAAUGGUGGGGUUUGGGGGUGAUUGCCCUGGGAAUCUGGGAAGUGUAGUUCAUCCUUAUCGAGACAGCACUGAACCCAGCCAACGACAGAUCUGGACCAAAAUUCAGUGAUAUUACCUAACACCCAAAACAAACUAUGCCUUCUUCUAAUAACCUGGGUACCACCAGGUCCCCAAGCUACUAUACAUAUAUAUAGAUCGACUUGCAUACAAAUUCAGUUUAAGAACAAACCUACAUAACCUAUCUUGUUCAUAACUUGGGUUCCAAUCUUUAUGUAUUUUUAAUAGUAGGGUUGAGCGAAAAAAUCAUAAAAGUUGUUGAUCGCAAUAAAUUCAUUAAUCGUA